AUUGAACGCUGGCGGCAUGCUUUACACAUGCAAGUCGAACGGUAACAGGCCUUCGGGCGCUGACGAGUGGCGAACGGGUGAGUAAUGCAUCGGAACGUGCCCAGUCGUGGGGGAUAACGCAGCGAAAGCUGUGCUAAUACCGCAUACGAUCUGCGGAUGAAAGCGGGGGACCUUCGGGCCUCGCGCGGUUGGAGCGGCCGAUGUCAGAUUAGGUAGUUGGUGGGGUAAAGGCUCCCCAAGCCAACGACCUGUAGCUGGUCUGAGAGGACGACCAGCCACACUGGGACUGAGACACGGCCUAGACUCCUACGGGAGGCAGCAGUGGGGAAUUUUGGACAAUGGGCGCAAGCCUGAUCCAGCAAUGCCGCGUGCAGGAAGAAGGCCUUCGGGUUGUAAACUGCUUUUGUACGGAGCGAAAAGGCUCCCUCUAAUACAGGGGGCUCAUGACGGUACCGUAAGAAUAAGCACCGGCUAACUACGUGCCAGCCGCCGCAGUAAAAC
rnacentral:rRNA from 1 species